UGGGGAAUAUUGCACAAUGGGCGAAAGCCUGAUGCAGCAACGCCGCGUGAGUGAUGAAGGCCUUCGGGUUGUAAAGCUCUGUCUUUUGGGACGAUAAUGACGGUACCAAAGGAGGAAGCCACGGCUAACUACGUGCCAGCAGCCGCGGUAAUACGUAGGUGGCAAGCGUUGUCCGGAUUUACUGGGCGUAAAGGAUGCGUAGGCGGAUUUUUAAGUGAGAUGUGAAAUACCGGGCUUAACUUGGGUGCUGCAUUUCAAACUGGGAAUCUAGAGUGCGGGAGAGGAGAAUGGAAUUCCGUAGUGUAGCGGUGAAAGUGCGUAGAGAUUAGGAAGAACACCAGUGGCGAAGGCGAUUCUCUGGACCGUAACUGACGCUGAGGCAUGAAAGCGUGGGUAGCAAACAGGA
rnacentral:rRNA from 1 species